rnacentral:rRNA from 1 species
GGAAGUAAAAGUCGUAACAAGGUCUCCGUUGGUGAACCAGCGGAGGGAUCAUUACCGAGUUUACAACUCCCAAACCCAAUGUGAACGUUACCAAACUGUUGCCUCGGCGGGAUCUCUGCCCCGGGUGCGUCGCAGCCCCGGACCAAGGCGCCCGCCGGAGGACCAACCAAAACUCUUAUUGUAUACCCCCUCGCGGGUUUUUUACUAUCUGAGCCAUCUCGGCGCCCCUCGUGGGCGUUUCGAAAAUGAAUCAAAACUUUCAACAACGGAUCUCUUGGUUCUGGCAUCGAUGAAGAACGCAGCGAAAUGCGAUAAGUAAUGUGAAUUGCAGAAUUCAGUGAAUCAUCGAAUCUUUGAACGCACAUUGCGCCCGCCAGUAUUCUGGCGGGCAUGCCUGUCCGAGCGUCAUUUCAACCCUCGAACCCCUCCGGGGGGUCGGCGUUGGGGAUCGGCCCUUUACGGGGCCGGCCCCGAAAUACAGUGGCGGUCUCGCCGCAGCCUCUCCUGCGCAGUAGUUUGCACACUCGCAUCGGGAGCGCGGCGCGUCCACAGCCGUUAAACACCCCAAAC